CCCAAAACUUUCAGCUUCUUCAAAGCAGACAAACAUGGAUGACUUCUGUUUCUCUUCUCCCUCCAUCCUAAUCCUUUUUUACUGUUAGCAUGUGUGCUUUGUUGAAUAAAUUGGACUGUGCUUGCAUGUGAAACAUUUAGUUUCUUUUUAUAUCUUGUGUUUUACGUUUUGUAUAUAUAUAAUUAUUCGUUGCAAUUAUAUCCAUAUUUCUUCAUAGCAGGAAGUCAAAUAAAAGCAUUAGUAUAUUAUUCAAUUUAAGUGCCCAUCCCUUCAUGUUAAAGUUUUGCAAGAAUAUCCCGCAAAUUGUGAAUGAGCCUCCCUCCCGUAUUUUUUCUUACUAGAUAGGGAGAGAGCGUACAGGGGGUGUUUCCUAAGACCCCGCCAUUGUUUUGUUUGGCUAUUGAUUUUGACUGUUAUCAGAAUACUAGUUGCUUUUCUCUUUUUUCUUUGUACUUUGACGGGUCAUUUCGUUUGUGGACAAGUUAUACAAAGAUUAUAACGUACGAGGAUUAUAAUAUGGUGAAAUGUAGCCAGUUGAUAAUUGUAUUUGCUUCGGAAAUGUUUGGUUCAUUGUAUUAACAUUUAGAUAUGAUGUGUAUCAUCUAGAACAUGUGUUUGGUUUUAAAUUGGAAAUGUUGUUUCCGACAAAGUGGCAGUAAAUCUCAAUGUGCUUAGUCCUCUCAUGAAAUAACUAGAUUUGAUGCGAUAUGAAGGGCUGCUUGGUUAUCACACACAAGUUCCAUCUGACGAAUUCUCCAAUUUUAGUUCUCUGAGCAACUAUUUAAUCCAAACUAGCUCACAAGUUGCUACAACCAUUGCUCCAUAUUCGGCUUCUGCACUAGAUCGAGCUACCACACUCUGUUUCUUACUUUCUUCCUGGACACCAAAUUACCUCCUAUUAAUACACAAUAUCUGGAUGUAGAACGUCUUUUAGAAGGCGAUCCUGCCCAAUCAACGUAUGUAGAUCCAACAUUUUGCUCACGACCUCGAUCCUCAAAAAGUAGUCCUUUGCUUGGGCUGACAUUUUAUAUCGCAGAAUGCAGACAAUUGCAUCCCAAUGGCUAUCACAGGGAGAAACUGAUUUACAACAUACACAGUAAAAGAAAUGGCAGGCAGGAGUGUAGCAUUCAGAUCCAUAAGAGUGGUCAAUGGGUCUACAAUCGAUCAUUCCUGUCUCCUUAAGAAUAUCUAAGGCAUACUUUUAUUGUGAAACAUCAAUGCCUGAUCUAGACUGAGCAACCUCUAUACCUAGAAAAUACUUCAGUCUGCCGAGGUCUUUAGUCUGGAAAUGUUGAAAGGGAUGUUGCUUUAAAUUUGAUAUGAUCCUAGGAAGCUCAUGGACGAUUAUGAAGGCUAAAACCCGCGUUAGAGCUUUGGAUGUGCAUUUCCGUGCCACACCCUUGGAAGAGGAAGAUAGGGCCUUUGGAGGCCAUUGAAGAGCAAGCCACAAGGGUGUGGACGAUUGCUUGGAAGAGACAUGGAGAUUAAGGCCCAUUAAUUAAAGCCACACAAAGUGGCUAGAAGUGCAAACAUGGCUAGAAGUGUAAUUUGUGGCUAGGAGUGCAAACUCGAGGCUAGGAUUGCAAUGCAAGUGAAGAAGGGCCCAUGUGAGGUUAUUUCCGCAAAGGCCACUUUUGGGUCUUUGUUGUAAUAGGGCCUAGUAGUUAAUUGCCAAAUGUGGCUAGUAGUUAAUAAUUGUGGCUAUGCAUGUAAAGGCAAAACUAUAUAAGCUUUCUUUAGCCUAUUUUCAUUCCUUAGCUUGAGAUUUAUGAUGAAACUUUUAUGAGUGUGUUUUCUCGUUGUAUGGAGCUAGUUUAGCUAGGAUUAGCUAGUAUUAGGAUUAGUGGGUGAAUUCCCUUAACUCUUACCUUGAAUCUCUCUUGGAUAAUCUAGGAUUAGAUUUCCCUGUAUGAGUUUAAGUCUUUUCUUCCUUGGAAUGAAUUCAUCUUAGAUUGUUGAUUAA